rnacentral:misc_RNA from 1 species
GAUGAAGAACGUAGCGAAAUGCGAUACGUAAUGUGAAUUGCAGAAUUCAGUGAAUCAUCGAAUCUUUGAACGCACAUUGCGCCCGCCAGUAUUCUGGCGGGCAUGCCUGUCUGAGCGUCAUUUCAACCCUCAUGCCCCUAGGGCGUGGUGUUGGGGAUCGGCCAAAGCCCGCGAGGGACGGCCGGCCCCUAAAUCUAGUGGCGGACCCGUCGUGGCCUCCUCUGCGAAGUAGUGAUAUUCCGCAUCGGAGAGCGACGAGCCCCUGCCGUUAAACCCCCAACUUUCCAAGGUUGACCUCAGAUCAGGUAGGAAUACCCGCUGAACUUAAGCAUAUCAAUAAGCGGAGGA